rnacentral:rRNA from 1 species
UAAGGAAUAUUGCUCAAUGGGAGAAAUCCUGAAGCAGCAACGCCGCGUGGAGGAUGAAGGGUCUAUGACUUGUAAACUCCUGUAAAGAAGGAAAAAAUUCCCAUGUGAUGGGAGAUGAUGGUACUUCUGGAGUAAGCCCCGGCUAACUACGUGCCAGCAGCAGCGGUAAUACGUAGGGGGCAAGCGUUGUCCGGAUUUACUGGGUGUAAAGGGUGCUCAGGCGGAUUUGUAAGUCAGAGGUGAAAUCUUACAGCUUAACUGUGAAACUGCCUUUGAUACUGCAAGCCUAGAGUAUGGAAGAGAGUGAUGGAAUAUCUGGUGUAGCAGUGAAAUGCGUAGAUAUCAGAUAGAACCCCAAUGGCGCAGGCAGUCACUUGGUCCAUUACUGACGCUAAAGCACGAAAGCGUGGGUAGCAAAC